GUAGGUGAACCUGCGGAAGGAUCAUUAACACGUAUCCACGUAUCAACCCCUCUGUGAAACCUCAGCAACAGAAAGGUCUGAUCUUAGUGCACUGUCCGCAUAGGUCCUAAUGAUGGCCGGUCUUCGGAUCGGGGGGCCGGGCAGUGUGUGCUUGACGAUCAACCGUUACUUUCCCAUUGUUGGCCUUUACUAUUUUUAACCCCUUUGUACUUUUUGUACUGAACCAUUCUUCGAUGCUCUCCCCUGAGAG
rnacentral:misc_RNA from 1 species